GUUUGACGCUUUUGCCCUCGCUUCAGAUUUUUUUGCAGCCUCUGCCACCGACCCGGAUAUAUCGAGUCUUUCCCGUUGAUUUCCUCUUUCUUCUACAGUCGUGUACUCAUCUUUAUCAAAUCAAGAACGAUCGAGAAAUAGAGAGAGAGAGAGAUCAAGAAGUCGGGUGCGUUUCUUUGCUUUGCACGAAGAGAUAGAGAGGGAGAUCGGGGGCAAAUCUCUAAAGCACAGCGUCGUCGCCGAGUCAAUCCAAUUGGGUUCCAAAGUUUGAACCUUUAAUCUGUGAUGGCAUCAAAAGGUAUUUCGAGAGGAA